AACAUCAAGGUAUUUUCAUGGCGAAAAAUAAGUCUGUGCAAUUGGAGCCAAAAUCUCCCAAAAGGAAAAAGUCAGCUUUAAAUGAAAGUCCAGUUCCUGUGGAAGAAAUUGUUGAAAAAAAAGCGAAAAAGAAAAAGGAAUCUCCAGAAGAGAUCCCAUCUGUAAUUAAAUCAAAAGAGCGUAAAAACUCGGAAAAGAACAAGAAGCGCAUAAGAAAGGAAGGAGACAAAGGACAGACACAAACAAGGCAAUCUGAGGUGAGAAUAUUCUGCUUUAAUGGAUGUUGUGUCAACAUUUUAUCACCUGUCUUUGCUAAAGUGACAUAAACAGUGUUUGGAGCAGACACACUGUUGUUAAGUAACUCAUGUGCUGUCUUAGAUUAAUCAUACACAAUAUAUACAAAAAAAAAAAGUAGCUUCAGCAGAAAUAUUUGCAU
rnacentral:lncRNA from 1 species